rfam:Pristionchus pacificus strain PS312 contig2851, whole genome shotgun sequence.
UCUUCAUUUCACACACUCUCUCACUGGUCAGAGAGGCGAGAGAGUGUGCAAAAUGAAGAGA